CGAACGGGUGAGUAACGCGUAGGUAAUCUGCCCCUAUCUCCGGCAUAACAUCGAGAAAUCGUUGCUAAUUCCGGAUGAGGCACUUGUGUCAAAGUUUUACACGGAUAGGGAUGAGCCUGCGUCUGAUUAGCUUGUUGGUGGGGUAAUGGCCUACCAAGGCUGCGAUCAGUAGCUGGUCUGAGAGGACGAUCAGCCACACUGGAACUGAGACACGGUCCAG
rnacentral:rRNA from 1 species